AAUGAACGCUGGCGGCGCGCCUAAUACAUGCAAGUCGAGCGAGAAGACGUAGCGAUACGUUUGUAAAGCGGCGAACGGGUGAGGAAUACAUGGGUAACCUACCCUCGAGUGGGGAAUAACUAGCCGAAAGGUUAGCUAAUACCGCGUACGCUUCUUGGACUUCGGUUCAGGGAGGAAAGCGAUGCCGAGGGUAUCGCGCUCUUGGAUGGGCUCAUGUCCUAUCAGCUGUUGGUGAGGUAACGGCUCACCAAGGCUUCGACGGGUAGCUGGUCUGAGAGGACGAUCAGCCACACUGGCACUGCGACACGGGCCAGACUCCUACGGGAGGCAGCAGUAAGGAAUAUUGCGCAAUGGGCGAAAGCCUGACGCAGCGACGCCGCGG
rnacentral:rRNA from 1 species